UAGGGAAUCUUCCACAAUGGACGCAAGUCUGAUGGAGCAACGCCGCGUGAGUGAAGAAGGUUUUCGGACCGUAAAGCUCUGUUGUUGGUGAAGAAGGAUAGAGGUAGUAACUGGCCUUUAUUUGACGGUAAUCAACCAGAAAGUCACGGCUAACUACGUGCCAGCAGCCGCGGUAAUACGUAGGUGGCAAGCGUUGUCCGGAUUUAUUGGGCGUAAAGCGAGCGCAGGCGGAAGAAUAAGUCUGAUGUGAAAGCCCUCGGCUUAACCGAGGAAUUGCAUCGGAAACUGUUUUCUUGAGUGCAGAAGAGGAGAGUAGAACUCCAUGUGUAGCGGUGGAAUGCGUAGAUAUAUGGAAGAAUACCAGUGGCGAAGGCGGCUCUCUGGUCUGCAACUGACGCUGAGGCUCGAAAGCACGGGUAGCGAACAGGAUUAGAUACCCUGGUAGUCCAUGCCGUAAACGAUGAGUGCUAAGUGUUGGGAGGCUUCCGCCUCUCAGUGCUGCAGCUAACGCAUUAAGCACUCCGCCUGGGGGAGUACGACCGCAAGG
rnacentral:rRNA from 1 species